AGCUCACUGCAGCCUCAACCUCCGUGGCUCAAGUGAUCCUCCUACCUCAGCUUCCUGAGUAGCUGAGACUACAGGCACAUGCCGCCAUGCCUGACUAAUUUUUUAAUUUUUUGUAGAGAUAGGGUCUUGCCAUAUUGCCCAGGCUGGUCUCCAACUCCUGGCCUCAAGUGAUCCUCCCACUUCACUCUCCCAAAAUGUUGGGAUUACAGGCAUUAGCCACUGCCCCUGGCUUUCAUAAAUGUUUGGUUUGGGGACCUACCUUCUGCCGUGGGUACAAUUAUCUCAGUUCCAUUUUUAAAAUAAUAGUAAUACUAAUAAUGAUGAACAUAAAUGCCGACAGUAAAAAGACUGGCAGGAAAUAGACCCAAAUGUUAACAGUGGCUAUUUCUUGAUGGUGAGGUUGCAAGUGAUUUCUUUGAAAUCCUUCUCAUUUUUACCCCCAGUUUUUAACACUUACUAUGUAACACCUUAAUCAUCAGGGUUGGAAUUAAGUGGCAAUUCAAUUUCAGGGCUGGGUGUACUUCAGAGGCUGCUUCACACUAUUAGGAUUCAUAACCUGAGCGCCUCCUGCUCAGCAUCUCCAGCCAGAGUGCAGGAAUGUCCCUUAGCCGAGGGGGAGGCCUGCGUGAGACAGGCUGGACAUGGACUUGGUUAUUGUUGCAGCUGGGUAAUGAGCACAUGAGGACUUAUCCUAUUCUGUUUACUUUUGUGUGUGUUAGAAAUUUUCCAUGGCAAAAAGAUAAAAUAUACAAAUAUCCCAGGUCAGUUCCAUUUUUACUUUGGGCUGAGCACUAAGGGAGGAUUUAAAAAAAAAAAAAAAGGCAUAAUCCUGUCCUCAAAGGGCGUAUCAUUUAGCGAGGGAGACGGAUGUGGAGAGCCAUAAUUCCAGAACAGUAGAAGAGACCUGGUGAAUCCAGGAGGCAGAACUGAGACCCACCUUGAUCCACAUUUGUCCACAUUUGCCUGACAACACUGACUACAUGCCCCACGACGGCCAGGCAGAUGCAGUAAGACUUCAGAGAGCCCAGGUCUUCAGGGCGGAACUGAUUGCUUAGUAAACCACCUUCAGCCUCGUUUUGGGGAAGGCUUUCUAAACUGCAUCAGCUUCUCUCUGUGCCUUGGAAAUGAGAAGAAUAUGUCCUUGAGUGGGGGGGCAUUAAUUGAGCUCUUUUUCUGAUCAUUAGGACCCUUAGCCCUAGGGUCACCCGGGGCACGGUCACCCGUCCCCUAGUGCCUCAGUGCUCAUACACACGUGGUAGAGGACAGGCUGGGCCUCUGCCAACUCCGGGACGGCCUGGACGUGGGAUUAUCGAGAGAGAUUUUUAGGCUCGCAUAUUUUGUUACAUCAUUUGCCUCUUUCUCUGCAAGUUGAGCACAAUAGGAGAGAGGAUCCAGCCGAUUGAGAUUUUGCUGUUUUUACUUUGAUGAGUAUUCAUUGCUUCCCAGUUUACAAAGUACCUUUACAUAACUGGCAUGUUUGAUUUUUAACAAGGCCCUUUGGAGGUAACCAGAGCAAGUGCCAUUAGCCUUUCUGUAGGUGAAUAAGAGGAGGCUUGGAGAGGUGCCCAGAGCCACACAGCCUCCUAAGAGGCCACACUGACAUGGAAUCAGGUCAUCAGCCCUGCACGUGGCAUGUGGUCUCUCGGUAUUUCCGAUGGCCAGUGCCAGGACAUCAGGUCUGUGAGAUUAAAAUAAUAGAAAAAGAUGAGGGAAAAUGUUUCGUAGGGUUCCCAGGCAUCAGCGUUUAGAACUGGAAGACACUUUUCACUGCAUAGUUUGUCAGAGAACUCUUAAAUUUCAUUGGUCAGAAUGAUAUCUAGCUUACAAGUUAUCUGAACUUUUAAGAAACUGGGUGGUUUUCUUUUUUUGGUUGUGGGGUUUUUGUUUGUUUGCUUGUUUUGUUUUUUUUGAGACAGAGUCUCUGUUGCCCAGACUGGAGUGCAAUGGCACGCUCUCAGCUCACUGCAACCUCCACCUCCCGGGUUCAAGCGAUCCUCCUGCCUCAGCCUCUCAAGUAGCUGGGACUACAGGCAUGCGCCACCAUGUCCAGCUAAUUUUUGUAUUUUUAGUAGGGACAGGGUUUCAUCUUGUUGUCCAGGAUGGUCUUGACUCCUGACCUCAAGGAAUCCGCCCGCCAUAGCCUCCCAAAGUGCUGGGAUUACAGGUGUGAGCCAAAGAAACUGUUUUCAGACUCAAACUGGAAACCGUGGAAAAAAAACUCUUUUGUUUUUUGUUUUUUAUUUUUUGUUUGUUCGUUUGUUUUUUGAGAUGGGGUCUCCCUCUGUUACCCGGGCUGUAGUGCAGUGGUACGAUCUCGGUUCACUGUGCAGCUUCCACUGCCCGGGCCCAAGCAAUCCUCCUGUCUCAGUCUCCCAAGUAGCUGGGAAUACAGGCAUGUGCCACCAUGCCCGGCUAAUUUUUGUAUUUUUUGUAGAAACGGGGUUUUGCCAUAUUGCCUAGGCUGCUCUCAAACUCCUGAGCUCAAGCCAUUCACCCACCUUGGCCUCCCAAAGUGCUGGGGUUAAUAGGUGUGAGGUACCGCGCUCAGCCAAAAGAACAUCUUUAAACAUCGUCAUUUGAAGUGACUAAACUAAUGUUAGCUUCUCAUUUUUUGUGAUCAAAUCAAACAUUUAGGAGCUGUCUGCUACUGGGUAAAUUGAAUUUCCUCAGUUAUUACUGAGGCUCGUUGGACAAUUCUCAGAGCCUUUUUCUGUGUAGCUUUGCUUGGUACUAUCAGUCUGUUCAGAAGCUCCGUAGCAAAAUAGAUGUCUGGUACAUGUAUUUUCAAACUCUUCAGGGAAAUGACUGCUGUUGCCAGUGCUGGAAAUCAUUUUCAUAGCUCUUUAUUAACCAUAAAAUUAUCUGCCCAGUAGCAGCACUGUGCAACAGAAAUAGAAAGUGAGCUAUGUAUAAUUUUAAAUUUUCUGUAGCCACAUUUUGAAAGAAUGAAAAGGAAGAGGUGAAAUGAAUUUUAAUAAUAUAUUUUAUUUAGCCUGAUAUUUCUAAAAUAUGACUUUUUUUUUUUUUUUUUUUUUUUUUUUUUUUUGAGACAGGGUCUCACUCUGUCACCCAGACUGGAGUGCAGUGAUGUGAUCUCAGCUCACUACAACCCCUAUCUCCCAGGCUCAUGGAAUCCUCCUGCCUCAGCCUCCUGAGUAGCUGGGAUUAUAGGCAUGUAUCACCAUGCCAGGCUAUUUUUUGUAUUUUUUGUAGAGACAGAGUUUCGCCAUGUUGUCCAGGCUCAAAAUAUGAGCAUUUUAACACAAAGUCAAUAUACAACAUGAUUGAUGCAAUUACAUUCCUUUUUCAUACUAAAUCUUUCAAAUCUAAUCUCAAUUCAUAUUAGCCACAUUUCAAGUCUUAAUAGUCACAGUAGUUCAUGGCUACCAUAUUACACAGCACAGAGCUGAGAAACAUUGACCACACUAGCCUCUGCUUUUCAGAAUUUCCCAAGAUUUUAGGCUGUUUAUCUAUGAUGUUGCCCAAAUGAAUAAUGUGUUUUUGGAGAAACUCUGUCACCCUUUCAUUCCCAGGGGUACUUUCAUUGAAUUCCGAAAUGGGAUGUUAAACGUGUCCCCUAUUGGAAGAAGCUGCAGCCAAGAAGAACGCAUUGAGUUCUACGAACUCGAUAAAAAAGAAAAUAUAAGACAAAAGUUUGUAGCAGAUCUACGGAAAGAGUUUGCUGGAAAAGGCCUCACGUUUUCCAUAGGAGGCCAGAUCAGCUUUGAUGUCUUUCCUGAUGGAUGGGACAAGAGAUAUUGUCUGCGACAUGUGGAAAAUGACGGUUAUAAGACCAUUUAUUUCUUUGGAGACAAAACCAUGCCAGGUGGCAAUGACCAUGAGAUCUUCACAGACCCCAGAACCAUGGGCUACUCCGUGACAGCGCCUGAGGACACGCGCAGGAUCUGUGAAAUGCUGUUCUCCUAACGCGGGAGCGGGAGGGGUGGGGUCCCGGCUGACAGGCCAGCAUAGGGCAUUCGGUGGCCAGAGCCGAGGGUCCUCCCACACGUGCUCACCCACCCGCAGCCCAGGCAGGCUCUGCGUGCUAUGCCAGGCAUGUGCAGUCUGGACCUCCACCUCCGGUGCCAGAAACUUCCAGAAGGAAGGAGAAAACUCUUGUCAAGAAUGGCCCAGAGGAAUGCCUCCCACAAAAGGUCUUCCCCACCCACCCCCAGCCCCCUAGUCUAAAACCCACCCUGAUACGUGCAAUGAUGUAGUUUUGGCGGAAAUUUCCCCAUCAUUCUGGGAUGAUACAGAAAGAAAAACUGUGCCUGGACCCUCCCUCUUGGUGGGUCUGUGGAAACGUAAGUGGUUUUUUUAAUGGACCCCUGCAUCAAUACCAAAAAUGGGGGUUCGGUAAUGAGAAACCAGGACAGGCCAUCUGCAGUGACCCAGCCCAGGACGAAGUUUACAAACACCUCCUGGAACGAAGCUCCCGCCUGCAUGUCACCUUGAUGGGGGCUGGAGUGGGGCAGUGUGAUGCCCAGUGACUAGACGCACUCUGCGUUUUCCCGUGUUUGAGGCUGAGGCCUGCUGGACAGAUGGCUGGCCAAGUGGGAGCAGACCCUAGGGAGUUUGCACCUCGGCUGGGCCGGAUUCGGACCGGCUCUGUGUUCACUACACUCAGAAUAGCCUGGCUGCUUCUCUGUCUCCGAGACCGGAGGGAGUGGGAACCAACAGCUGGGCUGGAGAGUUGGUGCUGGCAAAACAGUCCUUCCCCUGGGGCCGGUUCUUACCCAGGUCCAGAGAAACCAACGCGGGAUGUCAGACUUCACCAAAAGGACUUUCUGGUUGCCCCUGGCUGGCUUCCUGGAGGCGUUCGCCUCUAGUUUCUCAGGGAUGGAGCGAGAGCCCAGCCAGAGAACAGUAAGAGGAGCUGCUCUCCUAUCUGCACUCACCCAGGCCUUCACCCAGACUUUACCACUGAGGCGGCUGAGUGCAGCUACAGCUAGGUCCGCGUCCCUCACUCUUUUCAUCUUCUGCACGUUCUUCGUGAAACUGGAAGGAUCCCAGGUCUCAGCCAGAACACGGUGGAAGAGAACUUUCCUAGGAAACGGUUCAUGUGUCACUUUUCAGGAUGUGGAAACACUGUGAGCCAUACACCCUCCAUUGCUUGGUGCUGGGGUUGUGUGGCCUCCACUGGGCACUUGCCGACCUGAGUCUGGGGCCAGGGGAGCCCAGGCUGCCCUGCACUCCUGCCUCCCAGCCCACAACCAGGUGCUUUCAUCACAGCUAAACCUGGUUCCCUCCAAACCUCCCAGCCACUCGGGCUUGUAACUGUCCGAGCCCCGGAUCCAGUGGGGUGAAAGCAGCCAGCUGCUCAUCUCAGUGACUCACAGGACACAGCCAUCCAGUGGCAUCUUUCCUUGUUGAAUGAUACUGUAAUGACCUUCCGAAGUGAAAAGUAGCACAUUAAAGUGAUUUUAUUGUU
rnacentral:sRNA from 1 species